GUGCCUAACACAUGCAAGUCGAACGAGAAUCCCGGGCUUGCUCGGGAGAGUACAGUGGCGCACGGGUGAGUAACACGCGGGUAACCUGCCCUUAAAUUCGGGAUAACUUCGCGAAAGCGUUGCUAAUACCGGAUAUCGUUAAUUUAGCUCCGGCUUUUUUAAUGAAAGAUGACCUCUUCAUGAAAGUUGUCGUUUAAGGAGGGGCUCGCGUUACCAUUAGCUUGUUGGUGGGGUAAUGGCCUACCAAGGCUACGAUGGUUAGCUGGUCUGAGAGGAUGACUCAGCCACA
rnacentral:rRNA from 1 species